GAUGAACGCUAGCGAUAGGCUUAACACAUGCAAGUCGAGGGGCAGCAUGAUCUUAGCUUGCUAAGAUUGAUGGCGACCGGCGCACGGGUGCGUAACGCGUAUGCAACUUGCCUUACAGAGGGGGAUAACCCGUUGAAAGACGGACUAAUACCGCAUACACUUGAAGGAUCGCAUGAUUUUUCAAGGAAAUAUUUAUAGCUGUAAGAUAGGCAUGCGUCCCAUUAGUUAGUUGGUGAGGUAACGGCUCACCAAGACCGCGAUGGGUAGGGGAACUGAGAGGUUUAUCCCCCACACUGGUACUGAGACACGGACCAGACUCCUACGGGAGGCAGCAGUGAGGAAUAUUGGUCAAUGGGCGAGAGCCUGAACCAGCCAAGUCGCGUGAAGGAUGACUGUCCUAAGGAUUGUAAACUUCUUUUAUACGAGAAUAAUAGUCAUUACGAGUAGUGAUUUGAAUGUAUCGUAAGAAUAAGCAUCGGCUAACUCCGUGCCAGCAGCCGCGGUAAUACGGAGGAUGCGAGCGUUAUCCGGAUUUAUUGGGUUUAAAGGGUGCGUAGGUUGUGUUGUAAGUCAGCGGUGAAAUCUGAGCGCUUAACGUUCAGCCUGCCGUUGAAACUGCAGCGCUUGAGUACAGUGGCGGUAGGCGGAAUGCGUGGUGUAGCGGUAAAAUGCAUAGAUAUCACGCAGAACUCCGAUUGCGAAGGCAGCUUACCAUACUGUUACUGACACUGAAGCACGAAGGCGUGGGUAUCGAACAGGAUUAGAUACCCUGGUAGUCCACGCAGUAAACGAUGAUUACUAGGAGUUUGCGAUACACAGUAAGCUUCCACAGCGAAAGCGUUAAGUAAUCCACCUGGGGAGUACGCCGGCAACGGUGAAACUCAAAGGAAUUGACGGGGGCCCGCACAAGCGGAGGAACAUGUGGUUUAAUUCGAUGAUACGCGAGGAACCUUACCUGGGAUUGAAAUGUAGACGACCGGUCUGGAGACAGACUCUCCCUUCGGGGCGUUUAUGUAGGUGCUGCAUGGUUGUCGUCAGCUCGUGCCGUGAGGUGUCGGCUUAAGUGCCAUAACGAGCGCAACCCACAUUGGUAGUUGCUAACAGGUCAUGCUGAGGACUCUAUCGAGACUGCCGUCGUAAGGCGAGAGGAAGGUGUGGAUGACGUCAAAUCAGCACGGCCCUUACAUCCAGGGCGACACACGUGUUACAAUGGGAGGGACAAAGGGCAGCUACCGGGCGACCGGAUGCGAAUCUCCAAACCCUUCCCCAGUUCGGAUCGGAGUCUGCAACUCGACUCCGUGAAGCUGGAUUCGCUAGUAAUCGCGCAUCAGCCAUGGCGCGGUGAAUACGUUCCCGGGCCU
rnacentral:rRNA from 1 species